CCUACGGGUGGCAGCAGUGGGGAAUAUUGCACAAUGGGGGAAACCCUGAUGCAGCGACGCCGCGUGAGUGAAGAAGUAUUUCGGUAUGUAAAGCUCUAUCAGCAGGGAAGAAAAAAGACGGUACCUGACUAAGAAGCCCCGGCUAACUACGUGCAAGCAGCCGCGGUAAUACGUAGGGGGCAAGCGUUAUCCGGAUUUACUGGGUGUAAAGGGAGCGUAGACGGUAUGGCAAGUUUGAAGUGAAAGCCCAGGGAUUAACCCUGGGACUGCUUUGGAAACUGUUAGACUAGAGUGCUGGAGAGGUAAGUGGAAUGCCUAGUGUAGCGGUGAAAUGCGUAGAUAUUAGGAGGAACACCAGUGGCGAAGGCGGCUUACUGGACAGUAACUGACGUUGAGGCUCGAAAGCGUGGGGAGCAAACAGGAUUAGAUACCCUGGUAGUC
rnacentral:rRNA from 1 species